GCCCCUGUAGCUCAAUUGGCAGAGCAACUGACUCUUAAUCAGUAGGUUGAAGGUUCAAGUCCUUCCGGGGGCA
rnacentral:tRNA from 1 species